CUCUCCCUCACGGGGAUCCAGUUGCCAGGCUGAGUCCACAGCAUUUCUUAUCAAAAUAGAAGACGUGGCUUUAUGAAGAGGAUGAGCAGAGGACUAGGAGAAGCCAGGCUGACGUCCUGGCUCUGCCUCGUAAAGCUGCCCUUGAUUGAAAGGAUCUCAAACCCACUUGAAGCAAUUGCUCAAAUUUUGGCUUCAUGACAUGCCAACUGUACCAACGUUAGGUAAGGAGUGGGAAAACUCUGGGCUGGCUUCCAGGGUACCUACUCAGCUGUCCUGUAUCACCAACAAAUGUACUGUGUAAGACAACCUUGGUCAAGCUUCCUCUUUCAACCAAGCCUCAGUUUCCCUCUCUGAAAAAUGAGCCAUAUUUGACCCGUUGACGCCUGGCCCACACCAGUGAGAGUGUGACUGAAAAGUGCUUUCAACAGUUGAGAGAGUUUUACCCCCCCCUAGGAGGGUAUAUGUAUUACUCUUAUUUGACCACUCUGGAUAGAGGAAGUAACAUCACGUGGCCCUCCAACUGCUCUCCCUCCUAAAAUAUACUUGUUUAGAAAGACAAACAAAAUAGGAAUUGUCCAAGAAAGACAAUGGAAAGAGUAUUUAUGCCCAUUAUCUGUAGUGGUUAAUAUUAUAUCAACUUGGCGGAUGUUUUUGGAUGAGUUUUACAUUUAAUCAGUGAACGUUGAGUAAGCAGUUGAGAGCGUGACUAGCACAAAAAGACCAGUCUCCUGGAGCAAGAGAGAAUUCUGUCAAACUACCUUCAGAGUUCGUCUGUACCAUCAGCUCUUCUGGAUCCUGAAACUGCUUGUCGACAGGCAGAAUUUGGACUCACCAGGCUCCAUAACCGUGUAAGCCAAUUCCUUUUAAUAAAUCUGUUUCUCUGUAUAUA